UACGUAGGGUGCGAGCGUUGUCCGGAUUUAUUGGGCGUAAAGAGUUCGUAGGUGGUUCGUUAAGUCCGAUGUUAAAGACUGGGGCCCAACCCCGGGAGUGCAUUGGAUACUGGCGGACUGGAGUGCAGUAGAGGCGAGUGGAAUUCCCAGUGUAGCGGUGAAAUGCGUAGAUAUUGGGAAGAACACCGGUGGCGUAGGCGACUCGCUGGGCUGUAACUGACGCUGAGGAACGAAAGCCAGGGGAGCGAAUGGG
rnacentral:rRNA from 1 species